AGGAAUAUAUUUUGUUUUGGGUUAGAUUCAACAGAUUUAGAAUGCAUGCAAGUUCAUGCAACUUCCUUUACAUUUGCCCACUAUAAUGAGAAUCAAAGUCCUUUGAUCAAACCAGAAUAGACAGUAGGGCUUGGUUUAUCACCCCAUAUCUGUCCAACCUUUUCCUUAGGUACUGCAGCCCAAAGCAGCCUAACUCCUGUGAAACUGGUGAAUAAUUUUAUCCUUGGAGAAUGGAUCAUUUUGAUACAUCUCUGGAGGCUCUGUGAUAUGGGCCAGCACAGGAUUUACAAAGGCAAGAACAUGUGACUCUUCCAGAAUAAUGGGAACUGUAAAGCUCUUUGGGGGAAUUAAUCCUUCCCAAUCCUGGUCUCCAAAAAAAUUUUCUGUGUUCUGGUGAUUUCUCAGCUCACUGGCUGAGAACAGCUUCUUGUGAGGAAUUUUUGAAUUAUUUCAAGACAGGACUUCUGAACUGCAUUAAAUCUAAUUUAUUUUUACUUUUUUCUUGUAUAGGUAGGAAAAGUGAGUUCAGCUCACAUUUUCACCACAUAGUUUAGAAAGUCACAAGACUUCUAGUUACAAGAUUUUUUAAAGAUUUAGUGACUAGUAAAAUGCUACUAACAAAAAUAUGUAUGUUUUUACUUAAUUUUUAAAUAUUUCAUUUAAUAGACUCAUGUUACAGUGAAAAACCACCACCAACACAAAACCACCACCAACACAAAACCAGCAGUUAUAUUCGGAAAUAAGAUAUGUUUGCAAGGAAAACCAGCUAUAACUAUGAAAUAACUGCCUUUUCAGUCUUUUCAGCUAGAGAAGAUUAAAUAAUUUUUGUCAUAAUCUUAAAUAAUACCAUAAAGAGAGAAUCACAAGAGAGCAAAGCAUUUUGGGCUUUAUUUGUUUACUUCUCCUAAGAAGAUGCUUAAAGAUUCAUUGGCAAAUAUCAGUAAAGCCUCAGUUCAGGCAGAAUUCCUUGAAUUCUGGAACAUAGGAAUUCUAGACACACACAAGCUCUGGAAACUCAACAACACUUGCUGAGAACCAUCAGGAACAUAAAGCAAAUGCCCUUUCUUCUUUUUUACCCAUGAGCAAACAGAGAAAUCCAGGUGAAGCUUUUGGGACUCAGUGUCUGCUGCUGAAAGUCAAAAACUGCGAACUGUGGCUGAUGAUCUCACUCCAAAGCUUAGGAAAUGUGCAGGAUGAGAAACCUUCAACCCAAGCAUUAAAAACCAACAAACCAAACCAAACAAAAAAAAAAAAAAAAAAAAAAAACCAAAACAAAAAAACCCAAAACCAAUCAGAAAAAAAAACAAAAAACAACCAAAAAUAGAAAAAAAAAGAAAAUAACAUUGUUUCCUCCAGGCUUGCUACAUGAUUUUUGCCCUUGAAGUCCUUUGAAUCCACAAUAGAGAAGAAACUCUAGUGGAUUUCUGUGAGUUAUCAUAAGAGCACAAGUUGUGCACUACCCACCAAGGCAGGACAUUGUGGUGCUACAGAAAAACACUGCUGCAGUAAAACAAACUGGCUCAAUUCACCACCAAAAACCUCUUGAGAAAAUAAAUCACUAGUUUUUCCUCCUGCCUAAAGGAGGUUUCAUGCAGUAUCAGAGUUGUGCAUAGAGCAGGACAGGAACAAGUGCAUUUUACCUCCGUAAUUAUAAAUUAAAAGAGAAGCAAGUCAUUGGUAACAAGGCAGGUCUGAGCUAAUUUCAAAUCCAUGUCCUCUGUUUCCUCAAAAUAAGUUGAACAGGAGAACCCAAUAUAUCUCCUACAGGGAAAACAACUUUCUGAUAUCAAAGGAUUCUUUUUCAUUGUCUCAAAUUUUUACUCACAAAAAUGAGGCAGCAUGAACCAAAUACUUUGCUUUAGAAAGAAAGAAAUAUCUAUUCCGUGAUUUCCAGAUGUGUUCAUCACUAAACAUGAUUAUCAGAAUUUCUUAUCAGAAACACGUUAUCAGAAUUUCUUCAGAGGAGAACUGUGACAGUGAAGGCAGAUCCCACACAAAUGGAAAAAAAAGUCAAUCUCAGAACUAAGUUUAGGUGGCAUUAACGAUGAAAGGACAGGAUGAGGAGGCUGGAGACAAAGGAAAAGAAAUGAAAAUGACAAGAGGUCUGCAGGGGAAUUCAAGGGAACAGCACAUCUCUGUUGAAAAUCAGAAGCAAUAAAUGCAUGCAGGAAGACCAGCAGAAAUACAUUAGAAGCAUAAUAUCCCAGAAACCACUGAAAGAUUCAUGCCUUUAUAGUCUUCUGCACACAGCCUCAGUGAAGGAAGUGUAUUCACUAAAAUUCCUGAAGCAGUGAAUACAUUUCUGAUCCAAAGGCUGUGGUGCAUAAAACCCCUGCAAACAUUCCUUAAAUAUUAGUCUUCCCACAUGGAAAAGGAAAGUGUUAGGUAUUCACAAGUUACUUGUUUCUUAGUCAGAGUAAAUAUCCCAUCAGAAAAACAAAUCUGUCGAAACCCUUGUUUUUAAGGCAAAAAAAAUUACUUCAUUUGUCAGAAUGACGGUAAAAGCAAACUAAAAAAUAACAGAACUAGUCUGACUGGGAGACUGCCACUUCCACCACCAUACAGCUGCAAUUAAAGAUAUGAAGCUGAAGGGACUCUGAGCAGUGCUCUGAAAGACUCCCAGCUACAACAAUUAAUCCUCUUGGGGAGAAGGGGGUUUGCAAGAGAUUCCCAAAACCUGACAGAAAGCUCACACAGCCUUGCACAUCCGUGUGCAAACUCUGAGAUGAGGUGUGCUGGCUUAGCGAGGCCAUGGAAUAGAGAUGUCAGGGUUGAGAGACAGACUGAACUAGAAACAAGUUUCAACAAGUUUCAGAAUAUGGCCUUACAAAAAGACCAGAUAUUUUGGAAAAUUAGAACUGUGAAAGAUGAAUUGUAACAGGACUACAUGGGGUAAAAUACUAGUGGUUGUUAGGAGUAUUAGCAGCAUUGUGUGGCAACAGCUAAUAGGCUGAAAAAACAUUUAUAAGGUAUUGUAGCCAGGAAAUAGGUCGGCUUCUGAUGGAAUGGUGUUGAGUUUUACAUCUCUUGUGUCUCACCCUUCAUCAAGACAGAUAAUGGAAUAAAAUCUUUUUAAAUACCUCUCAGUUUCCCCAUCCCUGAAAAGUUGGGAAUAAUCCAAAAACCCCUGCUGUCUGAAUGCCACCUGUACAAACAGGACCCAAAGUCUGGAAACAAGCAGAUACUGCCACAACAUAGUCCUGCCAACAAAUAUAUCCUGCUGCCUCCUAAGGCCCAAUAUUAUUUCCAGGCUAAAUUUAUUCAUUAGCAGGUAUAGAGCUAUUUUUUCAUGCCAACACUGUAAAGAUUCAUGCCUUAAUUCAAGCAUUUACCCAUCCUGGUAUGUGCUUCUGAUGCCUUGAGAAGGCUGGCCUAGACCAGAGGCUGGACAGAGCUAAAGAACAAAGCAGGGAUUGAUUAAAAGGAUCUCCUCCAUGGAUCCCCCUUGGGCAGCACCAGAGCCCAGCCAGGGCUGCACCCAAGAUGAACCAAAAUGUCCCAAAAUGCACGAGCGCUCCCGGGGGCUCUCCCUGGGAUCAGUUCUGCUCCAUUGGCACCUUGGAGUUCAUUGUCCCAUUCCAGCUCCAGCCCAGGCAGUCCCAUCCUGCUUGUUUUUCUCUCUCCAGCCCACGGUGUUUGUGCUCUUGGGCUGAGAUUUGGAUCAUUUGUCCUUGGUGCCCAGCUGGAGAAGGAAUUGUUUUGUGUCCCUGCUCUGUGCAGAGCUCAGCAUCCCCUCAUGUGAAGCUCAGAAGUGCACACUAAAGCAGCACAGAAUGUGAAAAAUAUAAAAGCUAAACCUGAGGCAUCAUUUCCUUCCACAUUUACACAGACAAGGCUCUUUCAACAUCUUGCUAGAAAACUUCCCCAUUUCACCUGAGCACUGCAGGUCCCCUUACCUGAUUUAGCUGGCCUGGGCUGUACACAGAGUCCAGCUGAGGAGCUCUCAUCGGCACAGCAGCCCCUCCUUACCUGAGCAUCAUGUUUACCAUUUCCACUGCCCUACCAAUACUGAAACACAAUCAUCUUGCAGCUGAUUAAGACUCUCACAUGUCUCUUAUUACUCACUGAUAGCAGAAAUGCUUGCAAUUAGUCCCUAAGCACAUGACCUUGCAAUAUCAUCCUGUUUCUGUUGCUUCACUUCAAAAUCACUUAGCUGAUUUCAUCUCAUGCUUGAGUCAAAUUGUUUUCCAGCUUUAAGACAUCAAUGAACUCACCUAGUAUUUACAACAGGGUAAAAAUGAAAAUAGAUGUAUAAGAUUGAUGCUUACACUACUCUGGAGUCUCCAAGACCACUAGGUCUUAUAUCAUUAAAAUUUUUGUCAUUGCAUAAAAUUUUAAUCACUUCAUAAUUUAUCUGCUGUAUUGCUGCAUGUCACCUUUUCCAGCUGAAUAACACUUGACAUGACACAAUAUGAAACCCAUUCCUGGAGACCUUGUAAGUCAGAUAUGCUGUUAGCUCAUUGCUGAUAAGAGCUAAAAUGAACAAGGUUACCAGGAUCAUCUACAACACGUCUUAAUUAGUUGUUGGUUUUCCUUUAUUCUGUGUCUUACAGUUUUACUCACCUUUUCAGGUGAACAAUUCACAAUGCUUGCACACACAUUAAUUCAGACUCAUGGGAACAGUUGUUCCAUAUGCUUUGUUUUGGGUUGUUUUGGUUUUUAUUUUUUUUAAAUAUGUGCAUUAUGUAUUCUCCCAUUUCAAUAUACUACUCCAAUUUUAGUAGUUUAAGUGCAAGAUCCUUGUGAGUAGUGAUUUCACAGUUAUUCCAGUUACACGCCAGAUUUUCCACGGUUACAGAGUGAACCACAAAGCAUGUUGGUACAACCACUUUUAAGGUAUGUUACAAAGUUAUUUCUGAAGUUUGUUCCCAACAAGAGUUAUACUGCACUUCUCAUUCAUGGAACUGGGAGAUCACUUCAGUUAUUGUUGAGGUAUUGCUUUGUUGGCUGAGAGAUCAUUCUUUCAAAUUUGCUGAAAUGUGACAUUUUACACAGAAACACAGCAAGCCUAUAGGAGAAAUUUCUGAAGCACAGGAAAGAUUUACAUUUUCUCUCACACAUAAAUAUAAAUACUGAAAGAAAAAUGCAAAAAAGGCUAUAUUUGAUUCAUUGGCAGUAACUCCAUUUUGCUGAAGUCUACCACAGC
ensembl:lncRNA